GGUCGUAUAGUGUAGUGGUCAAGCACAUGAGAUUUUGACGCAUUAGUAUCAUCUUCCCGGAGCCUGGGUUCAAACCCCAGUAGGACCU